rnacentral:rRNA from 1 species
AGAGUUUGAUUAUGGCUCAGAGCGAACGCUGGCGGCAGGCUUAACACAUGCAAGUCGAGCGGGCGUAGCAAUACGUCAGCGGCAGACGGGUGAGUAACGCGUGGGAACGUACCUUUUGGUUCGGAACAACACAGGGAAACUUGUGCUAAUACCGGAUAAGCCCUUACGGGGAAAGAUUUAUCGCCGAAAGAUCGGCCCGCGUCUGAUUAGCUAGUUGGUGAGGUAACGGCUCACCAAGGCGACGAUCAGUAGCUGGUCUGAGAGGAUGAUCAGCCACAUUGGGACUGAGACACGGCCCAAACUCCUACGGGAGGCAGCAGUGGGGAAUAUUGGACAAUGGGCGCAAGCCUGAUUCCCAGCCAUGCCGCGUGAGUGAUGAAGGCCCUAGGGUUGUAAAGCUCUUUUGUGCGGGAAGAUAAUGACGGUACCGCAAGAAUAAGCCCCGGCUAACUUCGUGCCAGCCGCGGC